UUCUUAUGAUUAUUCAGGGAUAAUGGAC
rnacentral:piRNA from 1 species